AACGAACGCUGGCGGCAUGCCUAACACAUGCAAGUCGAACGUGAUCCAGGGCUUCGGCUCUGGUGAAAGUGGCGGACGGGUGAGUAACGCGUGGGAACCUGCCCAGUGGUAGGGGAUAACCGCGGGAAACUGCGGCUAAUACCCUAUGUGCCCUGCGGGGCAAAGAUUCAUCGCCAUUGGAGGGGCCCGCGUCGGAUUAGGUCGUUGGUGAGGUAACGGCUCACCAAGCCUGCGAUCCGUAGCUGGUCUGAGAGGAUGAUCAGCCACACUGGGACUGAGACACGGCCCAGACUCCUACGGGAGGCAGCAGUGGGGAGUAUUGGACAAUGGGGGCAACCCUGAUCCAGCAAUGCCGCGUGAGUGAUGAAGGCCUUAGGGUUGUAAAGCUCUUUCGGCGGGGAAGAUGAUGACGGUACCCGCAGAAGAAGCCCCGGCUAACUUCGUGCCAGCAGCCGCGGUAAUACGAAGGGGGCUAGCGUUGUUCGGAAUUACUGGGCGUAAA
rnacentral:rRNA from 1 species